rnacentral:rRNA from 1 species
CAGUCGCCGCGGGAAUACAGAGGGUGCGAGCGUUAAUCGGAUUUACUGGGCGUAAAGCGUGCGUAGGCGGCUUUUUAAGUCGGAUGUGAAAUCCCUGAGCUUAACUUAGGAAUUGCAUUCGAUACUGGGAAGCUAGAGUAUGGUAGAGGGUGGUGGAAUUUCCUGUGUAGCGGUGAAAUGCGUAGAUAUAGGAAGGAACACCAGUGGCGAAGGCGACAACCUGGACUGAUACUGACACUGAGGUGCGAAAGCGUGGGGAGCAAACAGGAUUAGAUACCCCCGUAGUCCCUGUCUCUUAUAC